rnacentral:rRNA from 1 species
GACGUAGGGGCCGAGCGUUGUCCGGAGUUACUGGGCGUAAAGCGCGCGCAGGCGGACGCACGCAUCCUCGGUGAAAGCCCCCCGCUCAACGGGGGAGGGUCCGGGGAGAUGGUGGGUCUGGAGGCAGGGAGAGGCCAGUGGAAUUCCGGGUGUAGUGGUGAAAUGCGUAGAGAUCCGGAGGAACACCGGUGGCGAAGGCGGCUGGCUGGACCUGUCCUGACGCUGAGGCGCGAAGGCGUGGGGAGCGAAC